rnacentral:tRNA from 1 species
CCUCUCAUGGCGUAGUGGUUAACGCGCCCCAACUAGAGAUCGGGGAGUCGUGAGUUCGAUUCUCACUGAGAGAC